rnacentral:rRNA from 1 species
UACGAAGGGGGCUAGCGUUGUUCGGAUUCAUUGGGCGUAAAGGGUGUGUAGGUGGCGCCGUAAGUCGGGUGUGAAAUCUCGGGGCUUAACUCCGAAACUGCAUUCGAUACUGCGGUGCUUGAGGACUGGAGAGGAGACUGGAAUUCAUGGUGUAGCAGUGAAAUGCGUAGAGAUCAUGAGGAAGACCAGUGGCGAAGGCGGGUCUCUGGACAGUUCCUGACACUGAGACACGAAGGCCAGGGGAGCAAACGGG